CAUCGCCUCUUGCAAAACAUAGAAUAAGAGGUCGCGCCUGCCCAGUGACAUCUGAUUAAACGGCCGCGGUAUUUUAACUGUGCUAAGGUAGCGCAAUCACUUGUCUUUUAAAUGAAGACCUGUAUGAAAGGUAUGACGAGGGCUUAACUGUCUCCUUUUCUAAGUCAAUGAAAUUGAUCUCCCCGUGCAGAAGCGGGGAUAAUAACAUAAGACGAGAAGACCCUGUGGAGCUUGAGACGUCAGAGCGGACCCCGUUAAAAAUGCCUAAAAGCUAUAAACUGAAGGGCGACCACCCUAGUGUCUUCGGUUGGGGCGACCAUGGGGAAAACAAAUCCCCCACGUGGACUAAGAGCACAAACCCCUUUCCUAUAACCCCACUCUUACAAACCAGAGCAACAGCUCCAAUUAACAGAAUUUCUGACCAAAAAUGAUCCGGCAGUGCCGAUCAACGAACCAAGUUACCCCAGGGAUAACAGCGCAAUCCCCUUUUAGAGCCCCUAUCGACAAGGGGGUUUACGACCUCGAUGUUGGAUCAGGACAUCCUAAUGGUGCAACCGCUAUUGAGGGUUCGUUUGUUCAACGAUUAAAGUCCUACGUGA
rnacentral:rRNA from 1 species